GGGGAUGUAGCUCAGUUGGGAGAGCACUUGAUUUGCAUUCAAGGGGUCGCGGGUUCAAAUCCCGCCAUCUCCA
rnacentral:tRNA from 1 species